CAAAAAGAAUUACGAUCAUCUUACAUCCAAUAUAUCUGAGUAGUUCAACAUUUGUAUUUUAGAGGACCUGACAAGCCGCUCAUUAUGAUGUGUGAAAGCAUCAAAAUAAAGUUAGUGGAGAGAUUUGCUAUCCAUCGGCAUGAAGUUGAAAUGUGGACUGCCGUGCUAGCGCCUAAAGCACAAGAAGUCAUAGCUGAAUAGAUUGAGAAGUUAAGGUUCCUGCAUACUGUUAUAUACGUCGCAGAUAGAAAAUAUGAGAUCCAUGAGGAGACGAUGCAUGCUGUAGAUCUAGAUGCCCCUAGCUACACUUCUAGGGUGUGGUGGAACAACUGGUUGCCAUGUUCCAAUUCAAUUGUUGUUAUAGACCACUGUCACCUCCAAAUAAUAGUCUUUUGCGAGCCGUAUUUCACCAUUCAAAUUUACAAGGCCACCUAUGCAAGUGAAUUCCAUCCUAUACCAGACUCGAUGCCUUUGACUGGAGCAUUGAAUAGAACUAUAUAUCCCCCAAAGACCAAACGACACCCGGGCAGACUGAAGAAGUAGUGCAGGCGGGCAUAAGCCACAAAAACCUGGGGUUACUGCUGUACACAUUGUAAUGAUGCAUGUUCCUAAAGAGAAAAUUUAGUGGGGGAAUAGUUAGUUCAUCCAAUCAAAUAAAAUGGCUAAACCAAAAACGAAGUCAAAUAUAAGCAUUGGAAAUCGUGGAAUUUCUUUUAAGCUUUGAAGCAAAUACAUUCCAAAAAUUUAUUUCAGACUAUUCCAAGAUUUUCAUAUACAUAGAACCAACAUGCCAUGAAGACAUUUCCAAAUAAUCGCAAAAUCUAUGGACUUAAAUCUUCUUGAAAAUACAAGAUUCACCUAAGUACAUCAAUUACCAAACGAACUAUACAAGAUAUUGACCAGAUAUCAGUCAAGGAAAUGCUUCUUAUAAACAACCACAAUUUGAUGAAUCAGUAAAGGAAUAAAUGUCACCAAAAAAAAUCGAGAAUUGAACUUACACUGAAUGAUAUAUAAAAUAACAUAGGGAAGAUAUUAAGCUAUAAGGAGUGCACUUUCAUGAAUCUGACACUCAAAUGAGAAUUAACAAAAGUUAAUCUCUCUAAAAGCAAAUUGCAAAUAGCCUAAACAAAUAAUCUCAAAACUAUUUCAGUGAGCUUCCAAUCACAAGCAGCUACAAAUGAGAAACAUGUUAAUUCUAGACAAAUUAAAUUAUAAUAUAAUCCAAUGACAUAUAAAUAAGUCCAAAAGACUUCAAAUAUACAAAUUACAUACCAUGAAAGACAUAAAUGGGCCAAUCUCAAAUUGCAUACAUCAUCAAAUCAUGCACUUAACUCAAAAUUAUGGAAGCCAAAUUGUUGAUCAGUUAUGUGCCGGUUAUGGUCUUACAUACAACACAUUCGAUUUACCAGAUAUUCUUCUUAAUUCAUAAUCAUCAGGCUUGCAAUAAAAAUUCAAGAAUACAAACGAAAAACAAAUUUAGAGGAAAUAAAGAAGAAGAGAACAUUGAUAAGUUCACCAAAAAAAAAUGACACCAAAAACCCUAAUGCGCCAUUGACACAUUGGGGUUUUUUGAGCCCCAAAACCCUAAGCCGCCAUUAAUCUAAUUUUCUUUUAAUUAAUACAAUGCCAUUAAACCUACGUGAUUAGCGCCGCCAAAUUCUGUGGUUAUGGAGCAUCAGACGGUUACUUUGCGGAGAGAGGGAGCUCUGGGCAGGGAGAGUGAGGGCAGAGAGAGCGAGAGAGAGAAGAGCAAAAAUGAUGGGAAGAACGGUCGAGCAGGGUUUUAAGGCAUUCCAGAGUGUUAUUAAGUAAUACGAACACUAGACAAUAUAAGCUAGUUAUUUGAUAAUUC
rnacentral:lncRNA from 1 species